rnacentral:rRNA from 1 species
UAGGGAAUCUUCGGCAAUGGACGAAAGUCUGACCGAGCAACGCCGCGUGAGUGAAGAAGGUUUUCGGAUCGUAAAACUCUGUUGUUAGAGAAGAACAAGGACGUUAGUAACUGAACGUCCCCUGACGGUAUCUAACCAGAAAGCCACGGCUAACUACGUGCCAGCAGCCGCGGUAAUACGUAGGUGGCAAGCGGUGUCCGGAUUUAUUGGGCGUAAAGCGAGCGCAGGCGGUUUCUUAAGUCUGAUGUGAAAGCCCCCGGCUCAACCGGGGAGGGUCAUUGGAAACUGGGAGACUUGAGUGCAGAAGAGGAGAGUGGAAUUCCAUGUGUAGCGGUGAAAUGCGUAGAUAUAUGGAGGAACACCAGUGGCGAAGGCGGCUCUCUGGUCUGUAACUGACGCUGAGGCUCGAAAGCGUGGGGAGCAAACAGG